CGGAGCGUAGCGCAGUCUGGUAGCGCACCUUGGAUUUGGGAGUCAGGGGGUCGCAGGUUCGAAUCCUGCCGCUCCGACCA
rnacentral:tRNA from 1 species